rnacentral:rRNA from 1 species
GACGAACCAUGCAAACGUUAUUCGGAAUCACUGGGCUUAAAGCGUGCGUAGGCGGCUCAGAAAGUUGGGUGUGAAAUGCCUCGGCUCAACCGAGGAAUUGCGCCCAAAACUACUGGGCUUGAGAGAGUUAGAGGUGAGCGGAACUCACGGUGGAGCGGUGAAAUGCGUUGAUAUCGUGAGGAACACCGGAGGCGAAAGCGGCUCACUGGGGCUUUACUGACGCUGAGGCACGAAAGCUAGGGGAGCAAACGGG